rnacentral:rRNA from 1 species
AUUGAACGCUGGCGGCAUGCCUUACACAUGCAAGUCGAACGGCAGCACGGGAGCAAUCCUGGUGGCGAGUGGCGAACGGGUGAGUAAUAUAUCGGAACGUGCCCAGUCGUGGGGGAUAACGCAGCGAAAGCUGUGCUAAUACCGCAUACGAUCUAAGGAUGAAAGCGGGGGAUCGCAAGACCUCACGCGAUUGGAGCGGCCGAUAUCAGAUUAGCUAGUUGGUGGGGUAAAGGCCCACCAAGGCGACGAUCUGUAGCUGGUCUGAGAGGACGACCAGCCACACUGGAACUGAGACACGGUCCAGACUCCUACGGGAGGCAGCAGUGGGGAAUUUUGGACAAUGGGCGCAAGCCUGAUCCAGCAAUGCCGCGUGCAGGAUGAAGGCCUUCGGGUUGUAAACUGCUUUUGUACGGAACGAAACGGCCCUUUCUAAUACAGGGGGCUAAUGACGGUACCGUAAGAAUAAGCACCGGCUAACUACGUGCCAGCCGCCGCCGUAAUAC